rnacentral:lncRNA from 1 species
GGAGAAUCGCUUGAAUCUGGGAGGCGGAGGUUUCGGCGAACUGAGAUCACACCGUUGCACUCCAGCCUGGGCAACAAGAGCAAAACGCCAUCUCAAAAAAAAAAAAAAAAGAAAAGAAAAGAAAAGAGAAAGAAAUUUAUAUGAGGAAAACAAAUGUGCAUGCAAAGAUUUAGCUAAGAAAAACCCCUCAUAAUGAUAUUAUUUGUAAGCCUGGACAACAUAGCGAGACCAUGUCUCUGUGAAAAAAAAAAAAAUAGCUGGGUGUAGUGACUGACACCUGUAGUCCCAGCUACUCAGGAGGCUGAGGAGGGAGAAUUGCUUGAUCCCAGGUGUUCCAGGCUGCAGUGAGCCAUGAUUGCACCCUGUCCUCCACCCUGAGUGACAGAGAGACCCUGUAUGAAAAAUAAACAAAGGCGGGUGAGGUGGCUCACACCUGUAAUCCCAGCACACUGGGAGGCUGAGGUGGACAGAUUGUUUGAGUUCACAAGUUCAAGACCAGCCUGGGCAGAAUGGCAAAACCACACUGCUACAAAAAUUUUUUAAAACAUUAGCCAGGUAUGGUGGUGUGCCUGUAGUACCAGCUACUCAGGAGGCUGAGGUGGGAGGAUCGUUUGAGCCUGGGAGGCAGAGGUUGCAGUGAACUGAGAUCACAACCUUGCAGUGAGCUGAGAUUGUGCCACUGCACUCCAUCCAGCCUGGGCGAGAGAGCGACACUCCGCCUCAAAAAAAAAAAAAAAAUUAGCUGGGCAUGGUAGUGCGUGCUUGUAGUCUCAGCUACUUGGGAGGCUGAGGCAGGAGAAUCACUUAAGCCCAGGAGGUGGAGGUUCCAGUGAGCCGAGAUGGUGCCAUGCACUCCAGCCUGAAUGACACAGCAGGACUCUGUCUAAAAAAAAAAGGGAUGAGAACAUAAAAAGAUGGUCAUGAUUUAU